rnacentral:rRNA from 1 species
UGCACCGCUGACGACCGGCGAACGGGUGCGUAACGCGUAUAGAAUCUGCCUUGUACAGGAGGAUAGCCUUUAGAAAUGAAGAUUAAUACUCCAUAAUGUUGGGAAGUGGCAUCACUAUCUAACUAAAGAUUUAUCGGUACAAGAUGACUAUGCGUCCUAUUAGCUAGAUGGUAAGGUAACGGCUUACCAUGGCAACGAUAGGUAGGGGGUCUGAGAGGAUUAUCCCCCACACUGGUACUGAGACACGGACCAGACUCCUACGGGAGGCAGCAGUGAGGAAUAUUGGUCAAUGGAGGCAACUCUGAACCAGCCAUGCCGCGUGCAGGAAGACUGCCCUAUGGGUUGUAAACUGCUUUUAUACAGGAAGAAACAGUCGUACGUGUACGGCCUUGACGGUACUGUAAGAAUAAGCACCGGCUAACUCCGUGCCAGCAGCCGCGGUAAUACGGAGGGUGCAAGCGUUAUCCGGAA